CAGGCCUAACACAUGCAAGUCGAGCGGUAGCACAGAGAGCUUGCUCUCGGGUGACGAGCGGCGGACGGGUGAGUAAUGUCUGGGAAACUGCCUGAUGGAGGGGGAUAACUACUGGAAACGGUAGCUAAUACCGCAUAACGUCGCAAGACCAAAGUGGGGGACCUUCGGGCCUCAUGCCAUCAGAUGUGCCCAGAUGGGAUUAGCUAGUAGGUGGGGUAACGGCUCACCUAGGCGACGAUCCCUAGCUGGUCUGAGAGGAUGACCAGCCACACUGGAACUGAGACACGGUCCAGACUCCUACGGGAGGCAGCAGUGGGGAAUAUUGCACAAUGGGCGCAAGCCUGAUGCAGCCAUGCCGCGUGUGUGAAGAAGGCCUUCGGGUUGUAAAGCACUUUCAGCGGGGAGGAAGGCGGUGAGGUUAAUAACCUCAUCGAUUGACGUUACCCGCAGAAGAAGCACCGGCUAACUCCGUGCCAGCAGCCGCGGUAAUACGGAGGGUGCAAGCGUUAAUCGGAAUUACUGGGCGUAAAGCGCACGCAGGCGGUCUGUCAAGUCGGAUGUGAAAUCCCCGGGCUCAACCUGGGAACUGCAUUCGAAACUGGCAGGCUAGAGUCUUGUAGAGGGGGGUAGAAUUCCAGGUGUAGCGGUGAAAUGCGUAGAGAUCUGGAGGAAUACCGGUGGCGAAGGCGGCCCCCUGGACAAAGACUGACGCUCAGGUGCGAAAGCGUGGGGAGCAAACAGGAUUAGAUACCCUGGUAGUCCACGCCGUAAACGAUGUCGAUUUGGAGGUUGUGCCCUUGAGGCGUGGCUUCCGGAGCUAACGCGUUAAAUCGACCGCCUGGGGAGUACGGCCGCAAGGUUAAAACUCAAAUGAAUUGACGGGGGCCCGCACAAGCGGUGGAGCAUGUGGUUUAAUUCGAUGCAACGCGAAGAACCUUACCUGGUCUUGACAUCCACAGAACUUUCCAGAGAUGGAUUGGUGCCUUCGGGAACUGUGAGACAGGUGCUGCAUGGCUGUCGUCAGCUCGUGUUGUGAAAUGUUGGGUUAAGUCCCGCAACGAGCGCAACCCUUAUCCUUUGUUGCCAGCGGUUAGGCCGGGAACUCAAAGGAGACUGCCAGUGAUAAACUGGAGGAAGGUGGGGAUGACGUCAAGUCAUCAUGGCCCUUACGACCAGGGCUACACACGUGCUACAAUGGCAUAUACAAAGAGAAGCGACCUCGCGAGAGCAAGCGGACCUCAUAAAGUAUGUCGUAGUCCGGAUUGGAGUCUGCAACUCGACUCCAUGAAGUCGGAAUCGCUAGUAAUCGUAGAUCAGAAUGCUACGGUGAAUACGUUCCCGGGCCUUGUACACACCGCCCGUCACACCAUGGGAGUGGGUUGCAAAAGAAGUAGGUAGCUUAACCUUCGGGAGGGCGCUUACCACUUUGUGAUUCAUGACUGGGGUGAA
rnacentral:rRNA from 1 species